AUGGUGCGGGAAUCUGAAAUCUCUAUUUUUUUCCACAGGAAUUGGGAACAACAAUGAGGACAAGCUUAUUCAUGAGGAAGGACACUGUGAUGGAGAAUAUCAAGGGAUAUGCCCAAGAACAGUGUUACCUAUUUUGGGACUCAGUCUCAAGAAACACAUUCAGAAUCUUAAAUUAGGAAAAUCUCAAGGCAACUGCUUGGUGCCAUAGACUGCCAAAACUUUUGGGGCUGGGUACUACUCCCAGACUGUGAACUCACUGGCCACAGGAAACCUAUGCCUGGUGAGAAAUGUUACAGCUGCACUGAUUGUAGCAAGAGUUUCCUGAACUCUUAACCCAUCAUCUUAACCCAUGGGUUACUCUCUAACCCAUCAUCUUCAAAGUCAUGUUUGUGAGAAGGCUUAAUCCUGUUCCAACUGUGGAAAACAUUUCAGCCAACAUUCCAACCUGUUCCAGCAUCAGCGGAUUCACUAGAGAGAUAAGCCCUACAAGUGCAGGUCCUAUGAGAAAGAUUUUGCUUAGAAUGCAUCCUUCAUCCAGCACAGAAGGGUCCACACUGGCAAAAGGCCCUACCACUGUCCCUAGUAUAGUAAGACUUUCAGUGAAGCUCCAAACUCAUUAAGCACCAGAAAAUCCACUCUGGAGAGAAACCUUAUAUCUGUGGGGAACAUGACAAGGGCUUUAUGGGCAGCUCUCUGCUGCUGGCUCAACAGGGAAUGCAUACUGGGUUGAAGUCCUAUGUCUGUCCCCAGUUGAAGCUGAUAUGCCACCAGAGUCCAUAUAAGUCAUGUAUUUUCUGCUGCUCCAUCUGGGGAGACAGCUUUAGUCAGAAGACCUCCCUUACUCAGCAUAUCUGCCUGCAUACAGGGGAGAAGCCUUUUAAGUGUGGGGAGUGAGGGGAGAGCUUCAGCCUCCAUACCAAGCUCAACUACCAUAUUGCUUGGCACCAGCCUCAGGCACCCCCAGCCCAGGGCUCCAGCCACACCAGUCCUCCCCUUGCUCCAGCCCAGCAGAAGUUCAGGUCCUUCUAUUUCCAUCUCUUCCUAUUCAUACCCCUACUGCAACCUCCCUUUAUCCUGCCCCCUCAAACACACUGACUGAUUCUGCCGCCUACCCUACUCAGUCUCCAACCUCUGAUCAGAUCCAUUUUCCUCAGAUUCCUUACCUCACCCCAUCCUUACACCUUCACUUAUGUACCCAUUUCCACUGCCCGGUAUACAUCAGAUUUCCCCCAUUCCUCCUCUACUCUCCUUUCCCAGUGCUGCAUCUACCCCAAGGACACAUGCAGAAUCCAGAUUCCAAGUUUAUUCCUGUGGUGAACCAGAAGCAAUGGCUGCCAAGUUUACCUGUUCUCAGUGUGGGAAGAGUUUCCCAGGCAAUGCACCCAUACAGAUAAGCAGCCUUACAUCUACUCUGAGUGUGGGAAGCGCUUUACCCAGAGUUCCUUCCUAAUGCAUCACAGAAAGAUGCACUUUAGCCGAAAAACCACAUCUUUGUGUGGAGUGUGGCUGGAGCUUCAAUUCAGCAGUGUUCUCCUGAUCAACCACAGGAGCAUGCAUUCAGGGGAAUGGCCUUUUACCUGCCCCAGGUGCCAAGAGUGCUUCCAGGAGGCCUAGAAGUUGACCAUGCACCAUCAGACUACCCACCUAGCUACUCAGGAGGCUGGGGGUGAUGAGACCCAGAAGCUAUACAAGUGUGAAACUUGUGGGAAGAGGUUAGGCAACAGGCUACUCUGAAUCAAAACUAGAGGACUCAAUGCAGACUAAUCCUAUCCAUUCUAACAACUGUGGGUGUGGCUUUAGAGCGCCAAACUCCACCACCAUGGAACACACACUGGAGAGAAGCCCUACCAGUGCCUCCAGUGUGGGAAGACUUCCAACCAACCAUCUAACCUUGCCAGACACCAAAGAACCCAUGCAGUGCAGGUCUGAGUGAGACCUUGUAUAGCCUCUCAGGUACACCUGUGGAACAGGCAUACAUUUCCUUUCCUCCACCCAUACUAGAUUCUAAAGGAUUUUCUUUUACAUAUCAGUUGUCCUCAGAAAUGCUGGGGGUUUUGUAUAUUGGUGAGUUUUUUUUUCUUGUCAUUGUUUUUGGGGUUCUCCCCCCUUUGAAUUCUUUGCUCUCCUUUUUCUUAAAUCUCACAGUCUAUAGAGUAAAGGAAUUAGGCAGAUGGUAGACAAAGGUAUAUUAUUGAAAUAUGUUCUUGGUAUGGACAUGAGCAAUAUAAAGUGAUGUAUUAAUAAUAAUGGCUAAUAGUAAAUUAUUUCUCUUAUACCUUUCUUUUGGGGGGGGGGGGCGGUAAGAGCAGAUUGAACCUAGAGGCACUGAGCUAAAUCCCCAGCUCUUUUUAUUUUUUCGAGACAAGGUCUCUGCUAAAUUGCUGAGGCUGGUCUUGAACUCGUGCUCUUCUUGCCUCAGUCUCCCAAGCCACAGGGAUUACAGCCACUGCAUUACAGCUUCCUUUUGCCUAAUUUCUCUGGCUAAAAUUUCAAGUACUGUAUUGAAUAGAGUGCUGAGAGUAGACAUCCUGUCUUGUUCCUGACUUCAGAGGAAAUUCUUCCUUUAGUUUUUUUCAUUUGGUAUGAUGUUGGCUUUUGAGUUUGUUAUAUAUAGACUUUGUUAUGUUUAGGCAAGUUCCUUCCUACUUUCUUCAGAUUUUUUUUACAUCAUAAAAGGGUGUUGAAUUUUGUCAAAAGCUUUUUCUGUAUAUAUUAAGAUGAUCAUGUUACUUUUGUCCUUGAUUCUACAUAUGUGAUGAUUCACAUUUAUUGAUUUGCAUAUGUUGAACCAUCUUUGCAUCCCUGGAAUUAAACCAACUUGAUCAUGACAUAUGAUCUUUUUAAUGUAUUGUUGAAUUCAGUUUGAAAGUAUUAAGGAUUUUUGCAUCUAUGUUCA
rnacentral:lncRNA from 1 species